AAUAAAAGGUGGACCAAGGAUGGUGGUUUAAGUACCGCGUUUCCUAAAAGCUCAGGAAGAAGGAGCCACAGGACGAUUCCAGGGAAUAAAACCGUUCCGGAGAAGGCCAUGAGACCUGGCAGAACUUUGAACAUGGAACUUACCUCACACCGUACUCCAAAAUGUAGUCAGGAUCUAUCAUACGUCUAAAUAUGAGGUGGCUACAGCACAAUCAUCCAGGCAUUCCAGAGGAAGAGCAAGAGAGCAAGCUUCUGUCCACCUUUGCUUUAAAUCUUCUGGCCCAUAAUUCCCUGUGCUCUGGAGGCAACCAGCUUUUCAGCCAAUCCCGUCAUAGAUGCACAGAUUUGCACAUUCGCCCUCCCACCUCUGUGUCUCUGCCCAAGGCUUGACUCUUCACCAGUUGUGAGAUGCUGGGCUGAUGUGGACUCCAGCCAGCAGUGUCAACGGUGUUGUGGAUGCAACAAACAAAUUCACAUGGACUACAGAAGUCCUGCAGAGAAAAAGGGACAACACGGCCACUCGCUGAGAGAGUACCCUGACCCUUGCCUGGACAAGCUUUUAUUGGCUUUUUAAUAGCAUACUCCAAGGAAGGUUCUCAUUCAUUAUGCUCGGGUUUGCUUUAGGUGGUUACUUUUUACAGAUAACAAAGGAAAGGACGUUACUGAUUACUUCUUAUAGAUUAACAAGGAAAAAAUAUUGCAAAUGCCAGGGAAUGAUAAGAGUGACUGACCUGGUUACACUCAGUCCUUAGGAGAAUUAGCACAGACUUCAGGAAGUUACUUUAAAGAUAUGCAGUAAACAUUUUCUGCUUCAGUUCAGGGUGAGGGAGUUUUAGCAAGAGCAAGCCUCAAAGCAGCCUAGGUAUAAUGCAGGCUUGGUUUCCCACAGGAAAGCCAAUGGGUUUGGCUUCCUGUGUGCCAACUCGCUCCUGUCGGUUUUCUGAUAGGGCUGGGCUACCUUUGCCACGUCAAGUGGACCGGUUCCCUAUACUGGGUGAUUAUAGAAAUUCUUUUCUUGAGAAUAAUAAAUGAGAUUAAUCAUAAACUACUUAGCAUAAUAGUGAGUGUUGAAAAGUGAGUGUUCAGGAGAGGAUCCUGGGGAAAUGGCAUAGUAGGAAUCUGUUUCCCAACCUAAACAAUAAUUGCAAUGGCAGAAUCUGCCUGAUGUAACUAUCUUGGAACUCCAGUCUACUGGCAACUUCCUGGAAAAGGUGUAAUGGAAAAUUGAAGCUAAUAUUGGUCAAUUUCAGUUCUUAGGACAUUAGCAGCUGCCUACCCUCUUUGGAGGUAAUUUGGUUCAGAUUAGGUCAAGAGGGCACUGGCCAGGUGGCUUAGUUGGUUGGAGCAUUGUCCCAUGCACCAAAAGAUUGCAAGUUCAAUUACUGGUGAGAGCAAGUACCUAGAUUGUGGGUUCAAUCCCUGGUCUUGGCCCUAUGAGAGUCAACCAAUUGAUGUUUCUGUUUCACAUCGUUUCUCUUUCAUAUCAAUGUUUCUCUCCCCACUCCCCCUUCUCUCUAAAUUCAACACACUCAGAUGAGGAUAAAAAAUAAAUAAAUAAAAUAGAUUAGGUCAUGAUGGAAUUAGUGUACUCUCAUAAAAAGAUGAAGAUGAAGAUAAUGAACAUGCACCACACAGAGGAAAAGGACAUGUGAGGAUACAGCAAAAAGGCAACCACCUGCAAGCCACAGAUGGUGCCUUCACCAAGGAUCCCACCAUGCUGGCACCCCGAUCUUGGCCUUUCCAGACUCUAGAAUUCUGGGAAAUAAAUGCCUGUU